rnacentral:rRNA from 1 species
UACGUAGGGUGCAGGCGUUAAUCGGAAUUACUGGGCGUAAAGCGUGCGCAGGCGGUUUGCUAAGACAGGUGUGAAAUCCCCGGGCUUAACCUGGGAACUGCGCUUGUAACUGGCAAGCUAGAGUAUGGGAGAGGGUAGUGGAAUUCCCGGUGUAGCGGUGAAAUGCGUAGAUAUCGGGAGGAACAUCAGUGGCGAAGGCGGCUACCUGGCCCAAUACUGACACUCAGGUGCGACAGCGUGGGGAGCAAACAGG